CCUACGGGUGGCAGCAGUGAGGAAUAUUGGUCAAUGGACGAGAGUCUGAACCAGCCAAGUAGCGUGAAGGAUGACUGCCCUAUGGGUUGUAAACUUCUUUUAUAUGGGAAUAAAAUGUUCCACGUGUGGGAUUUUGUAUGUACCAUAUGAAUAAAGGUAGGAUAACUCCGUGCCAGCAGCCGCGGUAAUACGGAGGAUACGAGGGUUAUCCGGAUUUAUUGGGUUUAAAGGGAACGUAGGUGGAUUGUUAAGUCAGUUGUGAAAGUUUGAGGCUCAACCGUAAAAUUGCAGUUGAAACUGGCAGUCUGGAGUGCAGUAGAGGUGGGCGGAAUUCGUGGUGUAGCGGUGAAAUGCUUAGAUAUCACGAAGAACUCCGAUUGCGAAGGCAGCUCACUGGACUGCAACUGACACUGAGGCUCGAAAGUGUGGGUAUCAAACAGGAUUAGAUACCCUUGUAGUC
rnacentral:rRNA from 1 species